AUUGAACGCUGGCGGCAUGCUUUACACAUGCAAGUCGAACGGUAACAGGCCGCAAGGUGCUGACGAGUGGCGAACGGGUGAGUAAUGCAUCGGAACGUGCCCAGUCGUGGGGGAUAACGCAGCGAAAGCUGCGCUAAUACCGCAUACGAUCUAUGGAUGAAAGCGGGGGACCGUAAGGCCUCGCGCGAUUGGAGCGGCCGAUGUCAGAUUAGGUAGUUGGUGGGGUAAAGGCCUACCAAGCCAACGAUCUGUAGCUGGUCUGAGAGGACGACCAGCCACACUGGGACUGAGACACGGCCCAGACUCCUACGGGAGGCAGCAGUGGGGAAUUUUGGACAAUGGGCGCAAGCCUGAUCCAGCAAUGCCGCGUGCAGGAAGAAGGCCUUCGGGUUGUAAACUGCUUUUGUACGGAACGAAAAGGCUCUGGUUAAUACCUGGGGCUCAUGACGGUACCGUAAGAAUAAGCACCGGCUAACUACGUGCCAGCAGCCGCCGUAACAC
rnacentral:rRNA from 1 species